rnacentral:rRNA from 1 species
GGGUAGAGUAAUGCGUGACCAACCUGCCCCAUGCUCCAGAAUAGCUCUUGGAAACGGGUGGUAAUGCUGGAUGCUCCAACUUGACGCAUGUCUUGUUGGGAAAGUGUUUAGUGGCAUGGGAUGGGGUCGCGUCCUAUCAGCUUGUAGGCGGGGUAAUGGCCCACCUAGGCUUCGACGGGUAGCCGGCCUGAGAGGGCGGACGGCCACAUUGGGACUGAGAUACGGCCCAGACUCCUACGGGAGGCAGCAGUC